UACGGAGGGUGCAAGCGUUAUCCGGAUUCACUGGGUUUAAAGGGUGCGUAGGCGGAUUAGAAAGUCCGUUGUGAAAUCUCUGAGCUUAACUCGGAAAUUGCGGUGGAUACUAUUAGUCUUGAAUACACUAGAGGUAGGCAGAAUGUGACAAGUAGCGGUGAAAUGCAUAGAUAUGUCACAGAACACCAAUUGCGAAGGCAGCUUACUAUGGUGCAAUUGACGCUGAGGCACGAAAGCGUGGGGAUCAAACAGG
rnacentral:rRNA from 1 species